AUUGAACGCUGGCGGCAUGCCUUACACAUGCAAGCCGAACGGCAGCACAGGGAGCUUGCUCCUGGGUGGCGAGUGGCGAACGGGUGAGUAAUGUAUCGGAACGUGCCCAGUAGUGGGGGAUAACUACUCGAAAGAGUGGCUAAUACCGCAUGAGAUCUCUGGAUGAAAGUGGGGGACCGCAAGGCCUCACGCUACUGGAGCGGCCGAUAUCAGAUUAGGUUGUUGGUGGGGUAAAGGCCUACCAAGCCUGCGAUCUGUAGCUGGUCUGAGAGGACGACCAGCCACACUGGGACUGAGACACGGCCCAGACUCCUACGGGAGGCAGCAGUGGGGAAUUUUGGACAAGGGGCGCAAGCCUGAUCCAGCAAUGCCGCGUGCAGGAUGAAGGCCUUCGGGUUGUAAACUGCUUUUGUACGGAACGAAAAGGCUCUGGUUAAUACCUGGGGUCCAUGACGGUACCGUAAGAAUAAGCACCGGCUAACUACGUGCCAGCAGCCGCGGUAACAC
rnacentral:rRNA from 1 species